AUUGAUUUUAGAUUACAUGGUUACAAAAGAGUUAGGUAAAAAGAUAAAUAAUAGUACUGUACUCCGUUAAUAUGAAAAAUCCAAUAUAUUCUUGCACAAAAAGUGAAUCAUCUUAUUGUCUUUUCUCCAAUGCCCCAUCCCUUUAAAUUUAAAUCUGCUCUGCUAUUCUAUUCUUCUUUUUAUCUCUCUGAUCCAAACACUUUGUUUUGUCAUAAAAACUUAGACAAGUGCAUGCCUACAUUAAUUGUCUCUCCCUAUUAAAGCCCAAUUCCUUACCCAUUUUGCUCUAUCCAACAAUUCCCAUUUAGUCAUUCAAAUUUUAUUACCAAUUCUAGCUAGCUACCUACAUAGUUCAAAAUUAUGUCAAAACAACUUGGACAAUUCCUUCAAGAACAACAAGAACCAUUUACCUUAGAACUUUAUCUUCUUGAAAGAGGUCAAUUUAGAAACAAACACCUUACUUCAGAUGGCGAUUUUCGGUGUUGUUCUAUUAAUUCUAGUACUAAUUUCUUGAAGAGAUCAGCUAGCUGUGGUGCAAAGAAGAGAAGACAAGUACUCAUUCUUAAUUGUUCAAAGAUUGUAAAGUCAGUGUUCAACAAGCUUGUUAUUACCAUUAACCAUAACCAAAAAAACAAGAACUUGGCAAAUGAUCAAGAACAGUACCACAACAAUUCUACAAAUGAUGAUCAGAAAUUUUCUUCAGCUAGUAGAACUACUCUCUUUCAUUCUUGUUCUGAUUCUAGUGAUGCAGAUGAAGUAGAAAAUUUAUCAUCAACGCAAGCGGCAGAUGACAACUUUCUACAUGAAAAACAGAUUGGUUGUGGAUAAGGUAACAGGUUUUUGAAGAGAGAAGAAAGCUAAGAUUGGAUUUUCUUGAAGAAAGUAAGCAACUUAGCCCUGUGUCAGUUCUAGAUGAAACUGAAUCUUCUGACGAUGAUCAUUCUCCACAUGUCAAAAGUAGUAAGUACAUUGACAUUACUACUUUUUUUUGUCUUGAUAACAACUUUAGCUUCCGUUUUUCCAUAGAUUUUGAAGUUGAAACGUGAACCUUUGAGUUCUACAAAUUGAUCAAAUUUCAUGACCAAACAGAUACUUGAAGAUAAAUCUUUUUCAAAGAACAAGGAUGUCCCAAGGCAAACAAACAAGAGGAAUUUUCAAGGCCAUCAGUUUGUAAUUCAGGGGAAACAAGUCCUGAGUCUCAGUACAUUAAGAACAAGAAAGCAGUACAACAAUCAAGACAGCUCCUUUUCGACUGUGUUAGAGAAGUGGUGGAUAAUCAAAGAGAUAAACAUACCCAGAAAGAUGAAUUUCAGAGAAUAUUAGGAGCUGAGCAACUAUGGGAGCUUCUAUUACAGAAUAUUUGGUUAUGGAGCCAAGAAUCCAUAAAUGAAACUAAUAUCAACCACUUGAUGCAUUUUGAUAUGUUGAAUUCUUUUGAAUUGUCAAGUGGUGUUGAGGAGAAAAGGGAAAUUGGUAAAGUGGUUAGUGAUUUAAUUUUUGUUGAUAUUAGUAAUGAGAUUGUACUAGACAUGUUUAAUUGUUAUUCUUCAAGGUGAAUUUAGAAGGGAAAAAAAUAGUUACAAUCA